AUACGGAGGGUGCAAGCGUUAUUCGGAAUCACUGGGCGUAAAGGACGCGUAGGUGGGUUGGCAAGUCAGAUGUGAAAUCCUACAGCUUAACUGUAGAACUGCAUUUGAAACUGCUAACCUAGAGUAUGGGAGGGGGAGAUGGAAUUAGUGGUGUAGGGGUAAAAUCCGUAGAUAUCACUAGGAAUACCGAAAGCGAAGGCGAUCUCCUGGAACAUAACUGACGCUAAGGCGUGAAAGCGUGGGGAGCAAACAGGAUUAGAAACCCCUGUAGUCC
rnacentral:rRNA from 1 species